UAGUCACUCCCUCUCUCACUCUGUCACUAGUCACCCCCUCUCUCACUCUGUCACUAAUGACAGAGUGAGAGAGGGGGUGAUUAGUGACAGAGUGAGGUAGGGGGUGAC
rnacentral:miRNA from 1 species